AGUGAACGCUGGCGGUAGGCCUAACACAUGCAAGUCGAACGGCAGCACAGUAAGAGCUUGCUCUUACGGGUGGCGAGUGGCGGACGGGUGAGGAAUACAUCGGAAUCUACUUUUUCGUGGGGGAUAACGUAGGGAAACUUACGCUAAUACCGCAUACGACCUACGGGUGAAAGCAGGGGAUCUUCGGACCUUGCGCGAUUGAAUGAGCCGAUGUCGGAUUAGCUAGUUGGCGGGGUAAAGGCCCACCAAGGCGACGAUCCGUAGCUGGUCUGAGAGGAUGAUCAGCCACACUGGAACUGAGACACGGUCCAGACUCCUACGGGAGGCAGCAGUAGGGAAUCUUGGGCAAUGGGCGAAAGCCUGACCCAGCAAUGCCGCGUGAGUGAAGAAGGUCUUCGGAUCGUAAAGCUCUGUUAUUAGGGAAGAAAAGAUGUGGAUUUAACCCUGGAUAUUCUGACGGUACCCAAAGAGAAAGCAACGGCUAACUACGUG
rnacentral:rRNA from 1 species